CCUCUCGGGGGUAAGCGGGCAGAACUUGCAAGUAUUGGCGAGAGAUUCAGACUUAGAUUUAGAGGUUGAGUAUAUUUGUUAAGUUGUUCAUUCGUGAACUGACUAAUUUGUGUACUUUAUUCCUUUACAAAUGCGUCGCAUUUCUCUUUGUCAUUCGGGUUGCAUGCAACUGAAUUUGGUGGUUUAGGUACUGAGAAUCUGUAAAUUAUUCUUACGAAUGAUUUAAGGCUUAGUUUUCCAACUACUAUUGCGGUUGUAUUAAAUAGCGAACAAGCGUUUCGACGCGGUCAAUUAUUCUUACGAGUCGUGUACGUAUUGUUUAUGGACGAGUAAUCGUAGUAGAUGAUAUGUACUGGUUGUCAGUGAGAGUAACUUUGGCAUUGUUCAGUAUUGCAAUCUAAAGCAUGCGUGGUCUGCCUGU
rnacentral:rRNA from 1 species